GGAAGUAAGAGUCGUAACAUGGUUUCCGUAGGUGAACCUGCGGAAGGAUCAUUAUUGUAUAACCGAGGUGCGAGGGCUGUCGCUGACCCGAAAGGUCGUGCACGCCCGAGUGCCCUCACACACAUCCAUCUCACCCCUAUGUGCACCACCGCGUGGGUCCCCCUUUGGCUUGUUCGGAGGGGGGCUUACGUUUUCACACAAACUUUGUAUGCAGUGUAGAAUGUAUUUUUUGUUUUUGCGAUCACGCAAUCAAUACAACUUUCAACAACGGAUCCCUUGGCUCUC
rnacentral:misc_RNA from 1 species